rnacentral:sRNA from 1 species
GCCAGGCAUGGUGGUGAAUGCCUGUAAUCCCAGCAACUCAGGAGGUUGAAACAGGAGGAUCAGAAGUUCAAAGCCAGCCUUAGAAAAAGCGAGGCGCUAAGCAACUCAUUGAGAGCCUGUCUCUA